AAGUCGUAACAAGGUUUCCGUAGGUGAACCUGCGGAAGGAUCAUUAAUGAAAUGAUAAUUUUUUGGGGAUUUCCCUAAAAAAUAAUUCACCAUUUGUGCAUUGUUAUUAGAUAUACUUUGGUUAGAGCUUUGAUUUCAUUUAUUGGAAUCAACUUCUUGCUAACUCUAUCCUGUUAAGGACAGUUGGCUAUGAAGCGGCCUACCAAGGUUUUUUUUAUCAAACUCUUGUAUUUUGUCUGACCUAAACUAUUAUAAUUAAAUCAUAACUUUCAACAACGGAUCUCUUGGCUCUC
rnacentral:misc_RNA from 1 species